rnacentral:rRNA from 1 species
UGAUUCUUCGGAUGAAGUCUCUUGUGACUGAGUGGCGGACGGGUGAGUAACGCGUGGGUAACCUGCCUCACACAGGGGGAUAACAGUUGGAAACGACCGCUAAUACCGCAUAACCCGCUGGUGCCGCAUGGCACUGACGGAAAAGAUUCUAUCGGUGUGAGAUGGACCCGCGUCUGAUUAGCCAGUUGGCAGGGUAACGGCCUACCAAAGCGACGAUCAGUAGCCGGCCUGAGAGGGUGAACGGCCACAUUGGGACUGAGACACGGCCCAGACUCCUGCGGGAGGCAGCAGUGGGGAAUAUUGCACAAUGGGGGAAACCCUGAUGCAGCGACGCCGCGUGAGUGAAGAAGUAUUUCGGUAUGUAAAGCUCUAUCAGCAGGGAAGAAAAUGACGGUACCUGAUUAAGAAGCCCCGGCUAACUACGUGCCAGCAGCCGCGGUAAUACGUAGGGGGCAAGCGUUAUCCGGAUUUACUGGGUGUAAAGGGAGCGUAGACGGUGAUGCAAGUCAGAAGUGAAAGCCCGGGGCUCAACUCCGGGACUGCUUUUGAAACUGUGUGACUGGAGUGCAGGAGAGGUAAGCGGAAUUCCUGGUGUAGCGGUGAAAUGCGUAGAUAUCAGGAGGAACACCAGUGGCGAAGGCGGCUUACAGGACUGUAACUGACGUUGAGGCUCGAAAGCGUGGGGAGCAAACAGGAUUAGAUACCCUGGUAGUCCACGCCGUANACGAUGAAUAUUAGGUGUCGGGGAGCAAAGCUCUUNGGUGCCGCAGCAAACGCAUUAAAUAUUCCACCUGGGGAGUACGUUCGCAA